rnacentral:rRNA from 1 species
CCUACGGGCGGCAGCAGUGGGGAAUAUUGCACAAUGGGGGAAACCCUGAUGCAGCGACGCCGCGUGAGUGAAGAAGUAUUUCGGGACGUAAAGCUCGAUCAGCAGGGAAGAAAAUGACGGUACCUGACUAAGAAGCCCCGGCUAACUACGUGCCAGCAGCCGCGGUAAUACGUAGGGGGCAAGCGUUCUCCGGAUUUACUGGGUGUAAAGGGAGCGUAGACGGCAGCGCAAGUCUGGAGUGAAAUCCCAUGGCUUAACCAUGGAACUGCUUGGGAAACUGUGCAGCUAGAGUGCAGGAGAGGUCAGCGGCCUUCCUCUUGUCUCGGUGAAAUGCGUAGAUAUUAGGAGGAACACCAGUGGCGAAUGCGGCUUACUGGACUGUAACUGCCGUUGCGGCUCGACAGCGUGGGGCGCAAACCGGCUUCGAUACCCUUGUAGUC